GUUUGAUCAUGGCUCAGAUUGAACGCUGGCGGCAGGCCUAACACAUGCAAGUCGAACGGCAACAGGAAGCAGCUUGCUGCUUCGCUGACGAGUGGCGGACGGGUGAGUAAUGUCUGGGAAGCUGCCUGAUGGAGGGGGAUAACUACUGGAAACGGUAGCUAAUACCGCAUAAUGUCGCAAGACCAAAGAGGGGGACCUUCGGGCCUCUUGCCAUCGGAUGUGCCCAGAUGGGAUUAGCUUGUUGGUGGGGUAACGGCUCACCAAGGCGACGAUCCCUAGCUGGUCUGAGAGGAUGACCAGCCACACUGGAACUGAGACACGGUCCAGACUCCUACGGGAGGCAGCAGUGGGGAAUAUUGCACAAUGGGCGCAAGCCUGAUGCAGCCAUGCCGCGUGUAUGAAGAAGGCCUUCGGGUUGUAAAGUACUUUCAGCGGGGAGGAAGGGAGUAAAGUUAAUACCUUUGCUCAUUGACGUUACCCGCAGAAGAAGCACCGGCUAACUCCGUGCCAGCAGCCGCGGUAAUACGGAGGGUGCAAGCGUUAAUCGGAAUUACUGGGCGUAAAGCGCACGCAGGCGGUUUGUUAAGUCAGAUGUGAAAUCCCCGGGCUCAACCUGGGAACUGCAUCUGAUACUGGCAAGCUUGAGUCUCGUAGAGGGGGGUAGAAUUCCAGGUGUAGCGGUGAAAUGCGUAGAGAUCUGGAGGAAUACCGGUGGCGAAGGCGGCCCCCUGGACGAAGACUGACGCUCAGGUGCGAAAGCGUGGGGAGCAAACAGGAUUAGAUACCCUGGUAGUCCACGCCGUAAACGAUGUCGACUUGGAGGUUGUGCCCUUGAGGCGUGGCUUCCGGAGCUAACGCGUUAAGUCGACCGCCUGGGGAGUACGGCCGCAAGGUUAAAACUCAAAUGAAUUGACGGGGGCCCGCACAAGCGGUGGAGCAUGUGGUUUAAUUCGAUGCAACGCGAAGAACCUUACCUGGUCUUGACAUCCACGGAAGUUUUCAGAGAUGAGAAUGUGCCUUCGGGAACCGUGAGACAGGUGCUGCAUGGCUGUCGUCAGCUCGUGUUGUGAAAUGUUGGGUUAAGUCCCGCAACGAGCGCAACCCUUAUCCUUUGUUGCCAGCGGUCCGGCCGGGAACUCAAAGGAGACUGCCAGUGAUAAACUGGAGGAAGGUGGGGAUGACGUCAAGUCAUCAUGGCCCUUACGACCAGGGCUACACACGUGCUACAAUGGCGCAUACAAAGAGAAGCGACCUCGCGAGAGCAAGCGGACCUCAUAAAGUGCGUCGUAGUCCGGAUUGGAGUCUGCAACUCGACUCCAUGAAGUCGGAAUCGCUAGUAAUCGUGGAUCAGAAUGCCACGGUGAAUACGUUCCCGGGCCUUGUACACACCGCCCGUCACACCAUGGGAGUGGGUUGCAAAAGAAGUAGGUAGCUUAACCUUCGGGAGGGCGCUUACCACUUUGUGAUUCAUGACUGGGGUGAAGUCGUAACAAGGUA
rnacentral:rRNA from 1 species